rnacentral:rRNA from 1 species
AAAAAAAAUAGCUUCAUGUGCAGGUUAGUGGUGCGUGAAUUAUGAUUUCAGCCAAGGUUGACUUUGACUUCAUAGCUGGGGGAUGUGGCAGGAAAGUGUGAUCGCUUGGACAUCAGAAGCAAUUUGUGAUGCAGAGGAUCUUGUUGAGGAUUUCAGCGGGCUGCGAUGGUUGAUAAAAAUUUUCUGGAUGGAAGAGGAGAAGGUGAAUUCCAACCUUCUUGAAGAAAAAUGGGUGAAGUUGGAUGAGGAUUGGAGAUGGCGCGUAACCUACUUACACAUGGAUGGUAUGCUCGUCAUCUUGCAUGUGGAAAAGCUCUCUGGUGUGUGUAUGUAUGUAGUGGUAGUAGUAUGCAAUGCAUGAUAAGUAGAAAAGUAGAAAUCAGAAUUCAAACCGAAUAAGCUUUAUUUCAUCUUAUCAAUACAGUAUGGUGGCAAUAAUCAUUAACAUGCAUGCAUGCAUCUCAGGAUGGCUGAUCUACACAAGCCUAGUCACCAACCAUGUUUAUUCUUCUCUUCUCUGUUACCGGCUUUAAUUUCUGUUUAUAAACAGUGGUAACAACUGAC